AAAAAAGCAGGGAUCUGUUGCCCUUGUGAACAGGUCUCUCGUAUACUUCAGGGAAAUCAAGUGCAUUGUUAUUGGGUGAACCUCUGUUUAUUUUUGUGGCUGAAGGUUCAGUAAAUGAUGUUACAUUU